rnacentral:rRNA from 1 species
AACGUAGGUGGCGAGCGUUAUCCGGAUUCAUUGGGCGUAAAGAGCUUGUAGGUGGCUCUGUAAGUUGGACGUGAAAGACCCGGGCUUAACCCGGGGGGGCCGUUCAAUACUGCGGGGCUGGAGGGCGUCAGAGGGGGGUGGAAUUCCUGGUGUAGCAGUGAAAUGCGUAGAUAUCAGGAGGAACACCCGUGGCGGAAGCGGCCCCCUGGGGCGCGCCUGACACUGAGAAGCGAAAGCUAGGGGAG